AAAUCAAUUAAAUUAUUUAUUUUGCAGUAUAGUGUUUAAUAUAUAUUGCACUGCAAAUUGUGUAUAUUACUUACAGAGGUACCAUGUCCCAGAGGAUGGAAAUUAUACGGCAAGUGUUAUCUCAUCUCGUCUUCUGCCAAAACCUGGUCUGAGGCUAGACAAGAUUGCCAAGCCAUGGGAGCUGAUCUGGUGACCAUCGACAGUGAAGAGGAACAAGCUUACAUUAGUGGGCUGGGGAGAUGGGGUUGGAUUGGACUACAAAGACGUGGGACGAGCUGGACGUGGGUGAACGGUAGACCACUCUCCAUCUCCAGAGGGCCCGUGAUCUGGGGAUCUGGACAGCCCAGCAAGACAGAGGAUUGUGUUAUGACCAGCUCUCACUGGGAAGACUAUCCAUGCUACUCUAAGUUUUACCCCAUUUGUGAAAAAUCGGCUAAAUAAAUCAGGAAGACAUCACUGUCCCACAUUCUGCUGUAUUGUAUAAUAAUGAAUGUUAAAAGAAAUGAAUAGCUCUCUGUGUACUGCAUCAUUACAUAACAUUUAUUCAUUUUCAUUAUUAUUUAGGCACUGGCUAUGGUACACACAAUUACCUUUAUUUCUGUUAUUGCUUAUUAAGAGAACAUGUUUAUGUUGUCAUUUAUGUGACACUCACACCUAUGAGACUGGAACUAUGUACCAUUUCCUUCCAUUGCACUCUCAUCCUCUGGUUGGUCUUGUGUUUGUAAAAACAGUUAUGUUGUCUGGUGUUUGUAAAAGUAGUUAUGUUGUUGCAUUGUUACC